GCAUGAUGUUAUAUGGGACUGAGCUUAAUAUGAUGCUAUGUAGAAUUCCUGUCAACAUUAUUAUUAUCUUGACAUCAAAUGCAUCUGGUAUAGAAAUAGCGAAAAACAUAUAUAGCAGUUGCUUCUCUGUAUUUACUGUGUGUCUCUAACUUGGAUUUGUCAAGUCUUCCACAAACUUCUGUCCUCUGCUUGGUAAGGGACCCUUGUUAUCCUCUCUUUGCUUGAUUGAUGAAAUACUGAGAGGAGAAGAUUGACAAAAGAACUUCAAAGCUUUUAUAGAUAAAGAACCUCCAUCCUGUGAUUUUUUCUUGAGGAACAAAGUGUUCCUUUGUUGAGAACAAACAUUUUGGCAAAUGCUUUGCAGCUUGUGUAAUGCACAACUGCAGUUGCGGUGAUAUGGCCUCCGCUCAAUAUCCAAGUUUUGCAAUGGAAUGCUUACAGCAAUGACACACCGAAGCAUCAUCUCCACUGCUUCACUUUUGAAGUUUUCCUUUCCUGUGUCUGUGGAUCUUUUUAUGUUAUUGGAGUGGAUUGGUUUUAUAUAAUGAUUUGAAAUGUUGAGAGCUGGUAUUCUAUGUUUACUGCAUAUAGAGUAGGGUAGCAGAUUUCCUAGAGGAAGAAUUUGGAAGUUACCUAUAGAAGAAAAUAUUGUAUAGCUACUUUCUUAUAGAAUAAAAGUUACAACAGGUCCAGACAAUUCUUCAAAGCAGUUUAGAAUUAUGGUAAACAUAUAUUUCAAGGGGAACUUUCCAAUCAUGGCCUAAUUCUUGGAAACAUGGAUAAAGAGCCAACCUAGGAACAAAGGAUGCUGACUUAGCUUGUCUUGUUUUGCUUUGACUUUGGAAUUCAUUAUAGAUGGAGAGUCUUGAGUGUUGUUUUCUUCUGAACAAUGUUUAAUUGACUCGUUAGAAUUGAUAUUCUCAUUUAUAAUUAUUUGUAAUGUAGGUGACUUUCAAAUGCAAGAACUUAAUUCAAGUAUAUCAUCCGCUAAACCAAAUGUUUCACCAGUAAUUUUUCUUUCAUGUUCUAGCAUGACAUCACUUAAAGGGAAUGUUUCAUUUGUCACUUCUUUGCAUAUAUAUUUACUUUAAUAUUGUCUCUUCUUUUACUGAUUGAAACCAUUGUAUCUUGGAUUCCUAUUGUAUCUCGAGUCCUUUUUUUUUUUUGAGUAGACAAUUGUAUCUUGAUUUCCAAUGUGAAGAAUGUUUUGUUAAAUCCAACGAGUGCCAAUAUAUUGUCUUUCUGUUUUAAAGAUGUUAUAUAUGGCCCACCGAGUGGUCAAAUGUGGAUUUCAAUUGUAUCCUGAUACCGGAUGUGAAGAAUGUUUCCUUAAAUCUAGAUGAGUGCCAAUAUAUUUUCUUUGUUUUUUAAGAUGUUAUAUAUGGCUCACUGAAUGGUGAAAUAUAGAAUUGAAUUCUAAAAUAGGCAUUUUGUAAUGGGGAAAACAUUCAUUACCUGGCAUUAGCAACUUUGGCAGAAGAGACAAAUGGUGAUAAACCAUGUACUAUUUUUUAUUCAAUAAUGUAAUGUACCUUAUUACCUGCUAAGUUUUGGAAUCUAGGUGAUGAAUUAUGUAAAAAUUCUAUUUUUUGUAGAACAAGAAAUAAUGUUAAGAGAAAAGGAGAAUAUACACAAAGCAGGGAAGAAUAAAAUAUCCUCCCAGAAAACAAUUUUUGUGUGCUGGAAGUUUUAACAGGCCUAGCAACUCAGGAAGAAGGAAAAAGAACAAACAACGAAAGUGUCUUCUUAACUUGCUGGUUUGGCGGGGGCGGGGGGUUGAAAACUUGGUCUCUGCAGAUACAACCUGCACGUUCAGACAGAUGAACUGGAGUAAAUAUAUAGGAAAUAUUAAAAGAAUACAAGCUGUGUCCUUUCUUUGGCUCCUCUGUUUUUCAUGGAAUUAGGUGACAGGAAAUCUUUAUUCCACACUUGGAAGGUACUCAUUCACAAAUUUUUUGGUUUGCAUUACUCUGUUUCUACAAUUUUUUUAUGGUUUUAAAUGCUAAGGUCCUCUAUAAACCCGGAUAGAAAGUCAAUGAAACUUUUGUAUUUUCAAUUUGUACUUUGUAAACAAAUAAGUUGGACACAUCAUUUCAGGAUCAGACAUUGCUGGCUCCAGACCUCAUAUUUUGUUCAAUGGUCCUUUUUACAAUGAAGAAGAUCUCAGGGACAUUUUAAUAUUCUGGCUGAUGCCUUCUUGUAAAUUCUCCCUUAUUCACUUGGGUGUCAACCCUUUGAUGCCUUUUGUCUAUGGUAUCUUCUUUACACUCAAAAAAAAGAUACGGCACAUUACAUUAAGUAUACAGCUUUUGAGAUUUCAUUGCUUUAUGCUUUUGACUGUCCACGUAUAAUGUUUAAUGGUUCUACCGUACAUAUAAAAAAUCAUUGGAGUGAGAAAGGUCAAGAUGAUAACUUUCAGAAUCAAUCAGUAUAUGAUUUACUCUCGAAAUGGGGAAAAUUGGGAUUUCCACCUUAUGGCUUUUGUACUUAUAUGUCGAUUUCUUGCUAAAGAAACAAUGUCCUUGUCAAAUCUUUGAAUUGUACGGUUGGAUGCCAUGUGAUGUUUUAGACACACCUACCUAUCUUCUUGUGUUGUUUACUUGGUGCAUUGUUCAACUGAUGAAAUGGGACGGCAAGGAAUAGAGGGAGAAAAGCGAGACUGCCAUUGUCUUCAGAUGGAUAGUCUUGGAUGUGCUUUGAUAUUGAUGAACAUGAUUUUGUUCCCACAUAAUAUUUGUCUGCUUUGAAACUAUGCUUUCAUAAGAGACUUGACCCUGCCCAACUGACUUCUUUCCAUCCUGGCUUUUGCUUUUAGUCACUUCUGUCACAUUGUUCUUUUAUGAAGGGCAAUUUGGGGUUGUCAUUUUAUGGGAAAUGAUGAAAGUUAUUACUGUCACAAGACCUUUCUAUUUCUUAAUAUGUUCAUUCUUCUUUCGGUAUAUUCUCUGAAAUUCUAUAGAAUGGGAUCUAGUCAUUUACCAAUGGCGUAAGUUUUAAAUUGACAGAUAUCAAAGAGAAAACGGAGAAGUGGAUGGCAAAAAUUUGCCUGGCUGCCCAUUUGAGUAUUAUGUUACGCCUUCAAUAUGUGCAUCUAUAAACUAGAUUAUACACUCAAGUUCAACAUUUGCAUCUCUACUUGUCUGGAGAUGAUAUCAGAAGCUGAUUGCCAUUUUGACAGAUCUUCUUUUUUUCUUCCAGAUAUACCAUUUCAUAAAACAUAGUCGGCUAAUUUUACAGAAUGGUUCAUUUAUGUAAUGUAGCACUAUUGACUUCAAAUCUCCAGACUCCAAAAGCUGUAACUCUACAGCUUACUGAUACUGGCCAGUUGCCUCUUCUCUGCAUCUACUUGGUGAUUCAUUGAGAACAGAAGAUUGAAGAGAGAACUGGGAAGCUGAUAGAGACAAGGAACAAUUGAUCCAGCCCUGUUUCUUAGGGAAUGUUAUAUUCCUUUUCUGGAAACAAACAUUUGGAUAUACGCCUUUCAAAUUAUGCAGUGCACAGCCGCAAUUUCGAUGGGUUUAUAUAGAGCAGGGAAGCAGCACUGAGGUUUUAUUACGUGUGGCAGGAAUUCUACUCACAACUACUUUGUGUUAGUCCGGAGCUUCCUCCGAGGAUCUCAAGAAAGCUUUGGUAACCGACCACUUGACCAACAGCCUGGACUAGAUAGAAAGUAAGGUAUGUGCAUCCCAUGUUACUCUGCCUUUUUUGGGAAACACAGUUUCUUAUUUUUAAUUUUCUGCAUUUUCCAAUUCUGGGUUUAAUUAGAGUUCGAGAAAAUUCACUCUUAAUAACUUAAAUUUAUCGUAGGAUUAGUAAGUUCUAUUUCUUGACGGG